UAGGGAAUCUUCGGCAAUGGACGAAAGUCUGACCGAGCAACGCCGCGUGAGUGAAGAAGGUUUUCGGAUCGUAAAACUCUGUUGUUAGAGAAGAACAAGGACGUUAGUAACUGAACGUCCCCUGACGGUAUCUAACCAGAAAGCUACGGCUAACUACGUGCCAGCAGCCGCGGUAAUACGUAGGUGGCAGCGUUGUCCGGAUUUAUUGGGCGUAAAGCGAGCACAGGCGGUUUCUUAAGACUGAUGUGAAAGCCCCCGGCUCAACCGGGGAGGGUCAUUGGAAACUGAGAGACGUGUGUGCAGAAGAGGAGAGUGGAAUUCCAUGUGUAGCGGUGAAAUGCGUAGAUAUAUGGAAGAACACCAGUGGCGAAGGCGGCUCUCUGGUCUGUAACUGACGCUGGGGCUCGAAAGCGUGGGGCGCAAACAGG
rnacentral:rRNA from 1 species